UACGAAGGGGGCUAGCGUUGUUCGGAAUCACUGGGCGUAAAGCGCACGUAGGCGGAUCCUUAAGUCAGGGGUGAAAUCCCGAGGCUCAACCUCGGAACUGCCUUUGAUACUGGGGAUCUUGAGUCCGGGAGAGGUGAGUGGAAUUGCGAGUGUAGAGGUGAAAUUCGUAGAUAUUCGCAAGAACACCAGUGGCGAAGGCGUCUCACUGGCCCGGUACUGACGCUGAGGUGCGAAAGCGUGGGGAGCAAACAGG
rnacentral:rRNA from 1 species